AAUGAUCAACAUUCAACUUGCUGAGCCUUUCUUCUGAGAGUGACUUGACCAGAUAUUUGGCUACCCAGUAUGAGUAUCUUUCUGCUACAUUAAAUAAAAUAUCGUGGAGGAACACAAAGAAAAGGACUGUGCAUCUCAACAUAUUCAAGGUCAAGCAGCUUUUUACCAUAUCCAUAGUAUCUUGCUGCUAAAUGAAAGAAUUAUUGUGGAGGAGCAGAGAAAAGCUUACCUCAAGAUGUUCAAGGUC